UGGAGCGAAAGCGCGACUGACGGUACUCAUCCCUUGGGGUGAAAGCUGAGGAAGCUCCCGACUACAUGUCGACGCCGGUCCUGCGCGAGCAGGGAGGUAAGAACCUCGCUCUGGGAACAGAAACGACACGUCCAAGCAGGAUGUGACGAUGAUGCGGAGCCGAAAUCAAUCCGCUGAGGAUCUGCUUGGCAACGUUGAAACGACCCAUCACCGGGUAGCAAUUCCAAGAAUACGUCGUCGAAGUGUCGACCGGAGGCGUAGGGUAGGAAGCAUAGUUCGAUGUCGCAAGGCCUCUUUUGGGUGACCGAUAGAGGCGGAACAAAAUCGGGGCUACUCUUUGCACCA
rnacentral:RNase_P_RNA from 1 species